rnacentral:sRNA from 15 species
GGCUCUUUUUUUUUUAGGACUUUGGUUGUUUUAGUUUCAGGUUUGCGGCAGAUUUGGUUUGGUAAUAGAGUGUCAUCAAUCAAGUUAGGUUUAAAGAAAAUUGGUGUGAAAAAGAAAAAGUGAUUUCAAUUGUUUUUACGCCAAUUGUAAUUUUAUUUUAUCUGCAGUUUUAUUUUUUGCUGGUUUGGUGGUAAGGUGUCACAUGCAAUGGCUGUUGCGCUUGAUGUCUACAACUUGUUUGCGUAUUUACUGACAUUGAUUGUUAUGUAAAUAGUUAUUUUGUACGUAUGUAUGUAUGUAUGUAUGUAUGAUAGAUUUGGUGGUAAGGUGUCAGUAAUCAUGAUAAAUUUGGUGGUAAGGUGCCAGUAAUCAAGGACCAGCUUAGAAUUUGUCGACAAAGUUGGGUGAAUCCAUGUAUGACGUGAGGGUCCUUCGCCACAUUUUAAUGCAGAUUUAUUCCAAUGUAAAUGGUUUUUCAAGCGUGUCUCUUGGAAGGGCUGUUACUCCUGAUGUCUACAAAUUGUUUGAGUUUUUCUAUUUUCAGAUUCAUGAUAAAUUUGGUGGUAAGGUGCCAGUAAUCAAGGACCAGCUUAGAAUUUGUCGACAAAGUUGGGUGAAUCCAUGUAUGACGUGAGGGUCCUUCGCCACAUUUUAAUGCAGAUUUAUUCCAAUGUAAAUGGUUUUUCAAGCGUGUCUCUUGGAAGGGCUGUUACUCCUGAUGUCUACAAAUUGUUUGAGUUUUUCUAUUUUCAGAUUCAUGAUAAAUUUGGUGGUAAGGUGCCAGUAAUCAAGGACCAGCUUAGAAUUUGUCGACAAAGUUGGGUGAAUCCAUGUAUGACGUGAGGGUCCUUCGCCACAUUUUAAUGCAGAUUUAUUCCAAUGUAAAUGGUUUUUCAAGCGUGUCUCUUGGAAGGGCUGUUACUCCUGAUGUCUACAAAUUGUUUUUCUAUUUUCAGAUUCAUGAUAAAUUUGGUGGUAAGGUGCCAGUAAUCAAGGACCAGCUUAGAAUUUGUCGACAAAGUUGGGUGAAUCCAUGUAUGACGUGAGGGUCCUUCGCCACAUUUUAAUGCAGAUUUAUUCCAAUGUAAAUGAUUUUUCAAGCGUGUCUCUUGGAAGGGCUGUUACUCCUGAUGUCUACAAAUUGUUUGAGUUUUUCUAUUUUCAGAUUCAUGAUAAAUUUGGUGGUAAGGUGCCAGUAAUCAAGGACCAGCUUAGAAUUUGUCGACAAAGUUGGGUGAUUCCAAGUAUGACGUGAAGGUCCUUCGCCACAUUUUAAUGCAGAUUUAUUCCAAUGUAAAUGUUAUUUCAAGCGUGUAUCUUGCGAAGGCUGUUGCUCCUGAUGUCUACUAAUUAUUUGCGUUUUUCUAUUUUCAGAUUCAUGAUAAAUUUGGUGGUAAGGUGUUAAUAAUCAAGGACCAGCUUAGGAUUUGUCGAGCAAAAUUGGGUGUUUCCAUGCAUCCUGUUUGACCCUUGUUUCGAUGUCCAUGCAUUCCAAAAGGCUACCCUUAACGUAUUGGGAUUGUUGUUGUUGCUGCUGUAAUUUGUGUGCAUGAAUAAAUUUGUAUUGGCUGGAUGUCAAUGUUGCCUGUGAUAUUAA